ensembl:snRNA U2 U2 spliceosomal RNA
AUCACUUCUUGGCCUUUUGGCUAAGAUCAAGUGUAGUAUCUGUUCUUGCCAGGUUAAAAUGCGUGUUCAUUCCUUUGCCAGUUUCUCUGCUGGGGUUGCCCUUUUUCUUGUUGAUCAGCAGUUCUUUGUACAUCUGUCUUCUAGAUGUACAAUUCUAGAUAUUUCCAGUUUUACUCAACACAACUUUC